ACAGAUGUCAGAAACGGACAGCCCGGCACUGAGCUACUCCACCCCUGCAAGGCAGGCCCAGCUGAGUAUGAUCUGCUGCCUGAUGAGUUUAUCUCGCCCACAUGCAACAAGACCUUAAGCCUUUCCUCUUUGACGUGAAGAUUAAGGGCAAUCUCGACAGAUUUAAACAUGAUGAAGCACCCUACCUUGGGAUGAUAGGCUACUGGCCUACAGAUUAUGCAGUGUGGCCUUCUUGUGGGAAGUGGACAGGGAAACACUGAGGUAUUUCCCUAGGAACCAUGUGAGAAUAGAAGAUUACAAGAAAAAUUACUGUUGGCGUAUCCUCUUUAAUUCCCUCUGGAUUUAUACAAUCACUUCAGUGAGAACAAAAUCAAAAGCAAAUGGAAAUCACCAAAAGGAAGAUGCAGCCACUUCACGUAUCAGCACACUUUGGGAAGCAUGCACAGAAGAACAUACGUGUGUCUCCAAAAAUGGCUAUCAUGUGAAAUCUUCUGCCUCAACCAAGAGCCCAGAUCCCUCUUCCCAGGAAUUACUCUUUUUUUCUAAAUAGAAACAGCUGUACUUCAUAUCUCCCAGUCAAUGCACAUUGCUGGAAAAAUCAACAGAUAGCUGAGUAGAAAAACAGGCAGCCCAAUACUUGAAGGUGCCAAAAUGGCGACUACGCAGAUGAUAGACAUGGGAAUAGCCAGGAGGUUCCAGUUAUAAAGAUGGCUUGGGAAGUGGACUGAACAGCUUUGAUUCAGGGAUCGAAUCCCUCUUUGGAGCACUGUGGGCAAACAUCAACCUUCUGAUGUAUUUCCUGGAGCAUCUGUGCCUCUUGGAAUCCAUGGCUCCCCUGCAGUCCUCUCAGCAGAGCAACUGCCCUCCUGCCCAGCCUGUUUCCACUCAUACACAGAAUAGGCAAGAUAUGCAAAGAGCAUUGCAAUGGAUUUUGUAUACUGUAAGAGGUGCUGUUUCAAAUCCUCUCAGUUCAAUGCUAAAAACCCUGUUUAAAAAUGCUCCAAAUUUU
ensembl:lncRNA